rnacentral:lncRNA from 1 species
UCUCUCAAGAGGGAGCUCCAGAUGGUGAAGGAAACUCUGCAGGCCAUGAUCCUGCAGCUCCAGCCAGCAAAGGAGGCGGGAGACCGAGAGGCUGCAGCUUCCUGUGUGACAGCUGGUGUCCAGGAAGCACAGGCCUGAGGCGGGAAAGGAUGGGGGGAGGGUGAGCGGCCACGUCAUCGAUAUGGAUGCACCGGAGGCCUCUCUCACCUCCCCUGCAUGAACCAAUGUGCCUGAAUCAAUGACGGACACAGGGCCCCAAGGCCUCCCCGCAGAGAGGUGGUCCCCCUUUGCGCUCCUGGGGCUGAGAAUGGGGAGACCGCACGUUGGAAUAUGGAGGGGUCGAUGUGCUGGAUUUCCUUCCAAGGGUCACCCAGAGGCACCUUUCCUGGGUCGUUCAUGGGAGCUUCCUGUACAGGACUUGAAAAUCUUCUCGUCUCAGCUCCCAUUAGGCAGAAGUUGGGGUUGAAUUCUGCUAGAAAAAUGUCUCUUUUCCUGUACCAUCUUGCUUUCUGCUGCAAUUAAAAUAUCUCCUGAUUUAAGAACCUGUUAAGAGGAAACUAACCGUAAGUCUCUUUCACCAUACCUGUUAUACUUUCCUACAGGCGCAUGAUCUAAGGGAGCUAAUUAACCCCAGGAUCUGGAAUUAACAGCUUUUCACCUUCUCCUAUGAUUCACUACAAUCUCAGAAGAAUGCAUAUGAAAAAUUCCGAAAGACAUUUCUUUAAAGUAACACGAGGUGCAGUCUUUUGGUUGUCCUAUUAGAGCAGCUCCUAUUUCUACUGAAAGGGUCAUUGGUGUUUCCAGGACACCCUGGAAUUUGCCCACAAUGACAGCAGGAAGGGAGCAGGGGCAGAAAGGGAUCAUACGACCAUAUGACAAGUUUAAAUUUCUGGGCCUCUCCUCUUUUCCUCCCUAUCCUGUUUUCACUCAGUACCAGACAGGACACGGGUGUGGAAACUUUCAUUCAGUACAGUGCGGUACUCAGUAAGAGAGCGCACACUCGGGAAGGCAGUGCAUACUGUGUAAGACAGAGAAGCACUCAGCAAGGCGGUAUAGUACUCAGGAAGGCAGUGCAUACUCAGGAAGCCAGUGCAGUACUCAGGAAGGCAGAGCAGUACUCAGGAAGGCAGUGCAGUACUCAGGAGGGCAGAGCAGUACUCAGGAAGGCAAUGCAUACUCAGGAGGGCAGUGCAUACUCAGUAAUGUGGGGCAUUGCAGGCCCCUCCCUGCUGAGGCAGAUGUGA